rnacentral:tRNA from 1 species
AAAGAAUUAGUUAAUAUAUAACAUUUAAAUGUCAUUUAAAAAUUAUUUUUUUAAAAAUAUUCUUUU